UACGGAGGGUGCAAGCGUUGUCCGGAAUUAUUGGGCGUAAAGAGCUCGUAGGCGGUUUGUCGCGUCUGCUGUGAAAACCCGAGGCUCAACCUCGGGCCUGCAGUGGGUACGGGCAGACUAGAGUGCGGUAGGGGAGAGUGGAAUUCCUGGUGUAGCGGUGGAAUGCGCAGAUAUCGGGAGGAACACCAGUAGCGAAGGCGGCACUCUGGGCCGGUACUGACGCUGAGGCGCGAAAGCGUGGGGAGCGAACAGG
rnacentral:rRNA from 1 species